rnacentral:rRNA from 1 species
UACGGGGGGAGCAAGCGUUGUUCGGAUUUACUGGGCGUAAAGGGCGCGUAGGCGGUCAGCACAAGUCAGUUGUGAAAUCUCCGGGCUUAACUCGGAAAGGUCAACUGAUACUGUGCGACUAGAGUGCAGAAGGGGCAACUGGAAUUCUCGGUGUAGCGGUGAAAUGCGUAGAUAUCUGGAGGAACACCGGUGGCGAAGGCGGCAUUCUGGACCGAAACUGACGCUGAGGCGCGAAAGCCAGGGGAGCAAACGGG